UACUCCUACGGGAGGCAGCAGUGGGGAAUAUUGCACAAUGGGCGAAAGCCUGAUGCAGCGACGCCGCGUGAGGGAUGACGGCCUUCGGGUUGUAAACCUCUUUCAGCAGGGACGAAGCGCAAGUGACGGUACCUGCAGAAGAAGCACCGGCUAACUACGUGCCAGCAGCCGCGGUA
rnacentral:rRNA from 1 species